UAAAUAUCUUAUAUAUAUAUAUCCUGUAAGCCACCCAGAGUGGCUGGGCAAACCCAGCCAGAUGGGUGGGGUAGAAAUAAUAACAUUAUUAUUAUUAGCAAACAGAUGCAGCCAGAGGGUUUGACUCGGAAGAAGCCCUAGCUUCAGUUCAAGUAGGCUUACUUUUUCCUAGGUGAGCAAGGGUGCCAACUUGAACAAAAUAUUGGGGGGAGCCAGGUAAACCCAGCCCUGCAUUUGAUCACAUGAUACAUCACAUGCACAGCAUUUGAAUGGCAAUGUCCAUCAAAUUUUUUUGAGGGGGUGACCCCCUCAAAUAUUUCAUUGGAGGGGCCGAAGACCCCUCUGCCCCUAGAAGCAGGUGAGAGUGCUUUAAGGUGGCAGGCCUAAAAAUAUUGCAGACCCUCCAAGUGUCCCUAUUUUCUGGAUUUACAGAUUUGAUCCUAGAACGUCCCAAGGACUUUUUUCAUUGGAGAAAUGUUGAAGAGUCUCCUUCUUUGGCGAUCACUUGUAGCUGAGGAAAAUAGCCUUCCAUGAACACGGUUUUAACAGUGAGUACGUAAGUGACUGUGGAGGCCAAGUCUGGAUCCACACAUCCUUCCACAGUGGGCACAUAGGUUUCUAGGUGGGAAUUGAUCAUGGUGAGGGUUUGUCAAAUGUGUCUUCCUCUUAGCAUGUUUCUCCCUUUUGUCCUGAGUUCAAGUGUCUUCAAAACCCAUGAAACCUUUGGUAAAGGCUGUUCUCCAAUGGGAGCACUCGCAGGCCAGUGUCCCAAUUGUUGAUGCUUAUACUACAUUUUAAAAAAUUUGCCUUGUCUUUAAACCACUUUUGUUGACCACCAGCAUUACGCUUUCCAUUUUUAAAUUUGGAAUAGAGUAGCUGCUUUGAAAGACAGUAAUCAGGCAUCCGAACAACAUAACUAGUCCAACAAAGUUGAUGUUGAAGAAUCAUUGCCUCGACAUUGCUGAUCUUUGCUUCUUCUAGUACACUGGCAUUAGUUGGAGGGUAUGGGGUUAUGCGACCCCCAAGCCAAGGUGACAAAUAAUUAUACAACAUUUAGAAAACGUCUGAAGGCAGCCCUGUAUAGGGAAGCUUUUUAAUGUUUAUUAUGUUUUUAUAUAUGUUGAAAGCCACCCAGAGUGACUUGGGCGAUGCUGUUAGAUGGGCGGGGUAUAAAUAAUAUGAUUAGUAGUAGUAUGGAAUAGGACAUCCCUAUUUUCAUCAGAGAAAUGUUGGAGGGUAUGUUAACUGAUUAAUAAAAGCUACAUGUGCAAAACUCAUGAAAGGUACAGGCAACUCUCUAUUUACACUGGGGGUUACGUUCCAGGGGAUAACGCGUACAGCCAUAAUUGCAUAUAGUCAAAACACGAUGGGGGCCGUGGCAGGUGGUAUUGCCAAAGUCUUUUUUCCCAGGAUACCCACCCACCCAUUUUUAUUUUAUUUUUUAAAAAUUUCGCCAAGUGCAUAAAACUGAAUGCACACAAGUUAAAUGUCUGUAAGUUGUGAAUUACCUGCGUAUGUGCCGUUUAAAGAAACAGCGUCCAUGUUUCUCAGUGCCCACAAUAUUCAUUCCUCAAUAAAAAGGUGUUGCAUGCAUUGCUUCUAGGAAGAUGAUUGGAACAGGGGUUCCCAAAAGGUGGUCUGUGGUGUGGACCACCUUUAAGCUUCAUUCAGGGGGACUGCAGCAUUUCUGUAAAAAUACAAUAAAAAUCAUAGCAUCUAGCAUGGUAUGUUACAAUUGCUACACAAGGCAGAAUAAUUAUUAAGUAGUCCUCCAAGACCCUCAGCAAAUUUGAACUGGUGUAUGGGGGCGGGAGAGUUUGGGAAACAUUGGCAUGUAAGAUUAGAGCCAUAGGAUUUGCACUGUUAAAUAAACAUCCAGGUUGAUAUCCUGUGUUGGUUCAGGCUGUGUGCAUAACUCGUGAAAGUUAGUUUCAUAACUAUCCAGAGAGUAGAGAAAUAAUGACUUAUAAUAGCGUCAAUUUAAUCUGGCAUAAGCGUGCAAUUACAGCUGAGUUGAACAAUAGCCACUGGCAGGAAAAUGUUUAUGACUCUUCCCUAAAUAUAAAAUGACAGACCUUUCACAGGUCUCCUAAGAACAGAUUUCCAACCAAGAUGUCUCAAGCGUAUGCAUUUGAUCUUGUCCUGUCAUUACAACCCAUGCUCAUUCUUCAUAUUGCCAGGAUCAGACUAUUUCACCUUGUCACAUUUGUUAAAAGCAAAGCAGAAUGUCAGAUAAUUAGAUUUCCUGUCAGUUCCAUUUAUUUGGCAUAUUGGAGAAGAAUUGCUGUCUUUCUUUUUCAUUAUUUCUUCACACUCAUUACAUAUUAACAGAAUUGAGAUCGGCUCCUACCACUAACCCAAUCUCAAGCCUUAAAUGUGCUUUCCUUUCUGUAUAUCAUAAUGAAGAUACUGUGUCAAACAUAUGUGUUGCUUUUACAGGAUUGCAUGGG
rnacentral:lncRNA from 1 species